rnacentral:sRNA from 1 species
UUAUAGCCCCGAUCGCAGCGGCAUCCUUUUUCUUUGUAAAAAAGAAAAAGAUAUAGCGGAGAGCGGGACGGGUU